ACUCCUACGGGAGGCAGCAGUGGGGAAUUUUGCGCAAUGGGGGAAACCCUGACGCAGCAACGCCGCGUGAGUGAUGAAGGCUUUCGGGUCGUAAAGCUCUGUCUAGAGGGAAGAAAUGAUAAUCGGUUAAUACCCGGUUUUCUUGACGGUACCUCUGAAGGAAGCACCGGCUAACUCCGUGCCAGCAGCCGCGGUAAUACGGAGGGUGCAAGCGUUGUUCGGAUUUAUUGGGCGUAAAGCGCGUGUAGGCGGUUUGUUAAGUCUGAUGUGAAAGCCCUGGGCUCAACCUGGGAAGUGCAUUGGAAACUGGCAGACUUGAAUACGGGAGAGGGUAGUGGAAUUCCUAGUGUAGGAGUGAAAUCCGUAGAUAUUAGGAGGAACACCGGUGGCGAAGGCGGCUACCUGGACCGAUAUUGACGCUGAGACGCGAAAGCGUGGGGAGCAAACAGGAUUAGAUACCCUGGUAGUCCACGCCGUAAACGAUGAGUACUANGUGUUGCGGGUAUUGACCCCUGCAGUGCCNCANCUAACGCAUUAANUACUCCGCCUGGNAAGUACGGUCGCAAG
rnacentral:rRNA from 1 species